AGCGGGAGGACAACACCGGCAAGCUAGGGUUCCACCUCGGCAAAAACCUCCCCAAGGCAGCCACCAGAGCCUUCUUUGAGAACCUCCGGAUGUUGGCCCCCAGGAUCCUCCCUCUGAAAGAGAUCUUCCUCUUCUCGGUUCGCAAGUACCUCCAGAAGCUCAAGGGAUCCAAGGACGUCCAAGGGGAGGGCACGCCACGGGUGAACUUCAAGGCUGGAGUGGACCACUUCUGCAUCCACACCGGCGGAGCAGCCGUCAUCGAGGGCAUCGGGAGGAGUAUGGGGUUGAACCAGUACGAUCUCGAGCCGGCUUGGAUGACUCUGCACCGGUUCGGCAAUACCUCCGCCGCCAGCCUCUGGUACGUCCUGGCUUAUAUGGAAGGUAAGGGGAGGCUGAAGAAGAGAGACCGGGUGAUGAUGCUCAGCUUUGGCGCGGGCUUCAAGUGCAACAGCUGCAUGUGGGAGGUGAACAGAGAUUUGGAAGACGCCGGGGUCUGGGAAGACUGCAUGGACAAAUACCCUCUCAAGAACUUGGCCAACCCUUUCACGGAGAUGUAUGGCUGGAUCUACAACGAUGAAGCCGUCGCCAACUACGUCAAGGAGCACCCAGAGUAUGCCGGGAUUGCAGCUAGAAAUGCCCCGGUUACGGCGCGAUCCUCGUAAAAACUUCUUCGCUCAUACAUUGUUUUCUUCUUCGUUCUAUUUUCUUUUCUAUUUCACGCUCCCCCUCCCCAAAUGCAAAUUCGAUUCUUAUCUUCCGGCAUUCAUGAACAUACUCGUAUUUGUAUAACGAUAUACAGCUAUUUUCAUUAAUAAGAAAGAGAAAGGAUCGCUCCUUAAAUGAAGAAAA
rnacentral:lncRNA from 1 species